GNAGGGGGCAAGCGUUAUCCGGAUNUACUGGGUGUAAAGGGAGCGUAGACGGCAGUGCAAGUCUGAAGUGAAAGCCCGGGGCUCAACCCCGGGACUGCUNNGGAAACUGUGCAGCUAGAGUGUCGGAGAGGCAAGCGGAAUUCCUAGUGUAGCGGUGAAAUGCGUAGAUAUUAGGAGGAACACCAGUGGCGAAGGCGGCUUGCUGGACGAUGACUGACGUUGAGGCUCGAAAGCGUGGGGAGCAAACAGGAUUAGAUACCCUAGUAGUCCACGCCGUAAACGAUGAGAACUAAGUGUUGGAGGAAUUCAGUGCUGCAGUUAACGCAAUAAGUAGUCCACCUGGGGAGU
rnacentral:rRNA from 1 species